rnacentral:rRNA from 1 species
GAUGAACGCUAGCUACAGGCUUAACACAUGCAAGUCGAGGGGAAACGACAUCGAAAGCUUGCUUUUGAUGGGCGUCGACCGGCGCACGGGUGAGUAACGCGUAUCCAACCUGCCCACCACUUGGGGAUAACCUUGCGAAAGUAAGACUAAUACCCGAUGAUAUCUCUAUAAGACAUCUGAAAGGGAUUAAAGAUUUAUCGGUGAUGGAUGGGGAUGCGUCUGAUCAGCUUGUUGGCGGGGUAACGGCCCACCAAGGCGACGAUCAGUAGGGGUUCUGAGAGGAAGGUCCCCCACAUUGGAACUGAGACACGGUCCAAACUCCUACGGGAGGCAGCAGUGAGGAAUAUUGGUCAAUGGGCGAGAGCCUGAACCAGCCAAGUAGCGUGCAGGAUGACGGCCCUAUGGGUUGUAAACUGCUUUUAUAAGGGAAUAAAGUGGGUCUCGUGAGACUUUUUGCAUGUACCUUAUGAAUAAGGACCGGCUAAUUCCGUG